rnacentral:rRNA from 1 species
UACAGAGGUCUCAAGCGUUGUUCGGAUUCAUUGGGCGUAAAGGGUGCGUAGGUGGCGCUGUAAGUCAGGUGUGAAAUUUCGGAGCUUAACUCCGAAACUGCAUUUGAUACUGCGGUGCUCGAGGACUGGAGAGGAGACUGGAAUUUACGGUGUAGCGGUGAAAUGCGUAGAGAUCAUGAGGAAGACCAGUGGCGAAGGCGGGUCUCUGGACAGUUCCUGACACUGAGACACGAAGGCCAGGGGAGCAAACGGG